UUCAUUUUUUACAUCCUGAAACCAAAAAUCACCAUAUUAUGCAUGAAUUACAUAUCACUUUCACUUGUCACAGAGUGAACAUACCAAAUUCAAACAACAUUCACACUGUUUCUAGAUGAAAUGAUCAACCGAUAUUUUGGGCAAACAAUAUAAUUCAUGAGGGGAAAAAAUUAAUAUUUAUAUGUGUGCACAUAGUUUCAAGAUCAGCUAACGGGAUUGAAACCAGCUUUCCCAGUUAUGCUUGGAGCUGAUGAGAACAGUUAGUUUUGAACACAAAAUGGCAUGGGACUUAAUUCAUCUAGGUGGCAAUAUAUUGC